rnacentral:sRNA from 1 species
GAGCCUUGUUGGGGACUUCAUAUAAGCCAGCCCAUCUCUUUGCUUCUUCAGGGAGUGCCUAUUUCACAUAAGGCUGCAUGUCCCUGCAACUGCUGUUUGCAAGCUGUUUUGUUCUCUUGCCUUCUUUAUAGCUAUUUAGGAUUAUUACCAGAUAAUCAAGAAAAAUAUCCAAAGGAAAGGAAAACUCUACAGAAUGCUGCCUCUCAGAAGAAACCGCAGCCGAGGACUGGUGAAAAACUCGCUCCCCGUGCAAUGUGUGGUUCCUGGGGGAAGCUCACUGUGCUGUGGUGUUCUCUGCCAGUGCACACUCAGAGAUGGCACAACAGGAGGGAAACCAUCACUCAGUCCUGCUGCAGACCCAGCUGCGCUACACUGAAAAGAAAGCAGGCAGGGUGAAUGUUGGGGAGCCCUGGCCACACCGCCUCUCCCUUCUCUGCUUCUAACUUCCAGGGCAUCCUGCCCCAGAAGGGCACCCACCAGGCAGCACCCAGGUCCUGGUGUGGAGUGCAGCACAUUCUCUGGAGCAAAUCCUUUGGGUCAAAGUAGAGACCUUUGAGACGCUGGAUGUAUUGGCUUUUGGAAUUUUCUUUCCACAGUUGAGUCACCCUCCUGACAAUCUCUGUGAUUAGAAAACAACAUUCUUUUCUAGUCUCUUUACUGGGAGCGCCCUCUGUCUGAGACUGUCCAGUUCCUGGGGCAAAGGGCAAAGAGCAAGGGUCAGAGUUCAUCAAGAUGAACAAAACUGGGGAAAGGGGAUCCUUAGAACAGCUUUCUCCGACCCCUCUUACCUUGGGAAUGGUGCUUCCUUUCCCCUAUUUGGCUGGUUACAUUUGUCCUCCUGUUCAGCCAUGAAUAAUUAGAAAAGAAACAAGUUUGGCUUUUUUCCUCCUGGUGGCUAACCCAGCUAGGGUGACCAGAGACUUGCUUUCUACUGUGUAGGAUGACCUAGAGUCAGAGGCUGAGAACUCUCCAAGGGCUUGAAGCUGGGACCCAGUUCUCUGUCCAUGUGAGUGGCCCGUGGAUGGAGUCAAAGGACUCCAUGCUUCUCUGGGCCACCAGUCAACUUGUCAACUCUGGGUCCUGAAUGUGGCUUGGCUCAAACUCUUGGCAGAAAAGAGGUUGGGGGUGGGGGCUGUGAAGCUGGGAAGCCACAAAUAGAUUUAAAGGAAGAACUCCCAUAUUGCAUACUGGGGAAGACUUUGGGACAUUUUCUGCCCUGACGUGUAAGACAUCUUGUACAAACCCUGCUGUCAAGAUACUGAUCUUUGGGCUGGGAGUAAAAGACAGAAUGAUUCUGACCGGAGAAGACCGUGGGGAAGGGGGAGGGGCUCAGAGGCCAGGUCUCUUGCUCUUACAAGCCUGCUGGCUGUUACAAGAUUGUAGACAGCACACAUGCGCUUUUCUUGGAUAUACGGGUAGUUGAUGGAUCCUUAGUCACUUUGAUGAAACCCACUUUUUAUCUGAGUAAUGCUACUUGUGGAGACAGGCUGUUUUAUGCUUGCUUUGGAUCCAAAUUUCUAAAUAAGAAAUGUCCCUACCCUAAGUUUCUUCUCCUGGCCAACUGUCUGCAGCUACAGCCUUCCAGUGCUGUUUUCCAAUACAACAGAUAAUUAAAUGGAAAGAUUAAAAAUAUGGAGAUAAAAGCCCCCCCAAAACAAAAGUUCUUUCUUUAUGCUGUGAAGACAUCUCAGGCCCUGCCUUAACCUCCUACCACUAUAACAAAAUACUGCAGUUGAGGUAAUUAACCAAAGAAGGGCAGUUUAUUUUGGUUCAUGGCUUUGGAGGUUUCAGCCCAUGAUUACUUGGACCUGCUUUGGGCCGUGGCACAAGAGGCCCAGUUACCCCGUCUCAGACAGAAAGCACAGAGAGACAGGAAGCAGCUUGGAUCUCAGCAUCCCCUUCAUGAACACAGCCCCAGCGACAUAACUUCCGUCCAGUAGACUCCAUUUCCUAAAGGUUCCUAAAGGUGUUGUGGGCUAGGGACCAAGCCUUUAGCAUGUAGGAUUUCAUGGCUUAUAAUUCAGACUGAAAGGAUAACCUAUGCUAUAAGACAUGCUGAUGCCUUUCAUAACGUUCUUCCUUUCUCCCCUUUCUGUGGUGUUGGACAUUAAACCCAGGGCCUUAAGCACACUAUGCAGGCAUUCAACCAGUGACUUAUACCAGUGUUCACUUUUAAGUUUUUAUUUCGUGCAUAUGGGUGUUGGCUGCAUGUAUGCCUGGUACCCAGGGAGGCCAGUCAAAGGCACUGGGUCUCUUGAAAAUGGAAUUAGAGUUGGUUUUAGCCACUUCGUAUGUGCAAAGGACCAAACCAAGUCUUCUGGAAGAACAGCCAGCCAGCACUCUUCAGCACAGAGCCAUCUCUUCAGCCCAGACCUUAUUUUUUUAAGACAGAAUUCCAUUGCGAAGCCCAGGCUAACCUCAGACUCAUAGCCUUUCUCAGUCUCCCAGAUUUUGCAAUAAUGGGCACACGCCACGAUGCCCAGCAUUCAUAAUGUGUUUCUUAUUACACCAUUCUGCAAUUA